rnacentral:rRNA from 1 species
UACGUAGGGUGCGAGCGUUAAUCGGAAUUACUGGGCGUAAAGCGUGCGCAGGCGGUUGUGUAAGACAGAUGUGAAAUCCCCGGGCUCAACCUGGGAACUGCAUUUGUGACUGCACAGCUGGAGUGCGGCAGAGGGGGAUGGAAUUCCGCGUGUAGCAGUGAAAUGCGUAGAUAUGCGGAGGAACACCGAUGGCGAAGGCAAUCCCCUGGGCCUGCACUGACGCUCAUGCACGAAAGCGUGGG